CGGCGAGUGGUUAUCUACGGAGGUGAUUUAUCAU
rnacentral:scRNA from 1 species